rnacentral:rRNA from 1 species
UACGUAGGGGGCAAGCGUUGUCCGGAUUUAUUGGGCGUAAAGAGCGUGUGGGCGGCCAGGUAGGUCCGCUGUGAAAACUCGAGGCUUAACCUCGAGAUGUCGGUGGAAACCAUCUGGCUAGAGUCCGGAAGAGGAGAGUGGAAUUCCUGGUGUAGCGGUGGAAUGCGCAGAUAUCAGGAGGAACACCAAUAGCGAAGGCAGCUCGCUGGGACGUUACUGACACUGAGGCGCGAAAGCGUGGGGAGCGAACAGG